GACGAACGCUGGCUGCGUGCUUAACACAUGCAAGUCGAACGGAAAGGCCCUGCUUUUGUGGGGUGCUCGAGUGGCGAACGGGCGAGUAACACGUGAGUAACCUGCCCUUGACUUUGGGAUAACUUCAGGAAACUGGGGCUAAUACCGGAUAGGAGCUCCUGCUGCAUGGUGGGGGUUGGAAAGUUUCGGCGGUUGGGGAUGGACUCGCGGCUUAUCAGCUUGUUGGUGGGGUAGUGGCUUACCAAGGCUUUGACGGGUAGCCGGCCUGAGAGGGUGACCGGCCACAUUGGGACUGAGAUACGGCCCAGACUCCUACGGGAGGCAGCAGUGGGGAAUAUUGCACAAUGGGCGGAAGCCUGAUGCAGCAACGCCGCGUGCGGGAUGACGGCCUUCGGGUUGUAAACCGCUUUCGCCUGUGACGAAGCGUGAGUGACGGUAAUGGGUAAAGAAGCACCGGCUAACUACGUGCCAGCAGCCGCGGUGAUACGUAGGGUGCGAGCGUUGUCCGGAUUUAUUGGGCGUAAAGGGCUCGUAGGUGGUUGAUCGCGUCGGAAGUGUAAUCUUGGGGCUUAACCCUGAGCGUGCUUUCGAUACGGGUUGACUUGAGGAAGGUAGGGGAGAAUGGAAUUCCUGGUGGAGCGGUGGAAUGCGCAGAUAUCAGGAGGAACACCAGUGGCGAAGGCGGUUCUCUGGGCCUUUCCUGACGCUGAGGAGCGAAAGCGUGGGGAGCGAACAGGCUUAGAUACCCUGGUAGUCCACGCUGUAAACGGUGGGUACUAGGUGUGGGGUCCAUUCCACGGGUUCCGUGCCGUAGCUAACGCUUUAAGUACCCCGCCUGGGGAGUACGGCCGCAAGGCUAAAACUCAAAGGAAUUGACGGGGCCCCGCACAAGCGGCGGAGCAUGCGGAUUAAUUCGAUGCAACGCGUAGAACCUUACCUGGGUUUGACAUGGAUCGGGAGUGCUCAGAGAUGGGUGUGCCUCUUUUGGGGUCGGUUCACAGGUGGUGCAUGGCUGUCGUCAGCUCGUGUCGUGAGAUGUUGGGUUAAGUCCCGCAACGAGCGCAACCCUUGUUCACUGUUGCCAGCACGUUAUGGUGGGGACUCAGUGGAGACCGCCGGGGUCAACUCGGAGGAAGGUGGGGAUGGCGUCAAGUCAUCAUGCCCCUUAUGUCCAGGGCUUCACGCAUGCUACAAUGGCUGGUACAGAGAGUGGCGAGCCUGUGAGGGUGAGCGAAUCUCGGAAAGCCGGUCUCAGUUCGGAUUGGGGUCUGCAACUCGACCUCAUGAAGUCGGAGUCGCUAGUAAUCGCAGAUCAGCAACGCUGCGGUGAAUACGUUCCCGGG
rnacentral:rRNA from 1 species